rnacentral:lncRNA from 1 species
CCACAGCAGCCCCGCUGCAGCUCACGACGUCGAUAGGGCCACAACAGCACCGCCGGAGCCUCGCAACGCCCACGGCAACCGCGACGGCAGCCGCGACCCCCACAGCAGCCCCGCUGCAGCUCACGACGCCGACAGGGCCACAGCAGCACCGCCGGAGCCUCGCGACGCCCACAGCAGCCCGCCGACAGCCCACCUGCUCCUCGUCAUUCUCGGUUUGUUUCCGAGUUCCAACUUCCAACAGUGCACUUUCCAUUAUACAAGGGAUUUUAAUAUUAUAAUGGUUUGGAAUUUGAGGGAUUUUAAUAUUUUAUAUGGUUUGUAAUUGAUUUAUAUUUUCUGAUAAUCACUUUGAGGAAUUUUUGAUAAUCACUUUGAGGAAUUUUUUAUUUUUUAGUUAGAGAACUUUGAGAAAUUCAAAUUAUUAAUUGUAUUGAUGGAAUAAUAGGAAUUUUUUUUUAUUUGGUUAGAGAACUUUGAGAAAUUCAAAUUAUUAAUUGUAUUGAUGGAAUGAUAGGAAUUUUUUUUUAUUUAGUUAGAGAACUUUGAGAAAUUCAAAUUAUUAAUUGUAUUGAUGGAAUGAUGGAUAUUAAAAUUAAACAAUUUAUGGACCACCUUAUGAAUUUUGACAUGCUGUUAAUGAAUUUUGACAAUUUCUU